GUUCUACUGGGGCGUUGGUGACUGCCAAUAGAGUUUUUUGAUCUAUGCCUCUAUAUAUAAGGGAACCAAGCGCUCUCGCAGCAGUAUACCGGGCAUGACCCGGAAACUUUAAGCGAGAUCCUAACGGUACCCACCUGGUGAACCCAGGUCAUAAACUGAGGUAAGACGGCGUCCUGGGGAACCU
rnacentral:other from 1 species